GGAAAUGUGCCUGAACAUCAAGGGCCACUUUGAUAGAGUGUUACAUAGGGGUGAAAAUCCCCUCAUCUCCU
rnacentral:tRNA from 1 species